rnacentral:rRNA from 1 species
AUAACGCAUAUAUGCUGGAAUGCUUUAUGCGUAAAAUGGAUUCGUCUGCCCAAGGAUGGGUCUGCGGCCUAUCAGGUAGUAGUGGGUGUAAUGUACCUACUAGCCGACGACGGGUACGGGUUGUGAGAGCAAGAGCCCGGAGAUGGAUUCUGAGACAUGAAUCCAGGCCCUACGGGGCGCAGCAGGCGCGAAAACUUUACAAUGCGGGAAACCGUGAUAAGGGGACACCGAGUGCCAGCAUCAUAUGCUGGCUGUCCGGGUGUGUAAAAUACACCUGUUAGCAAGGGCCGGGCAAGACCGGUGCCAGCCGCCGCGGUAACACCGGCGGCCCGAGUGGUGAUCGUGAUUAUUGGGUCUAAAGGGUCCGUAGCCGGUUUGGUCAGUCCUCCGGGAAAUCUGACGGCUCAACCGUUAGGCUUUCGGGGGAUACUGCCAGGCUUGGAACCGGGAGAGGUAAGAGGUACUACAGGGGUAGGAGUGAAAUCUUGUAAUCCCUGUGGGACCACCUGUGGCGAAGGCGUCUUACCAGAACGGGUUCGACGGUGAGGGACGAAAGCUGGGGGCACGAACCGGAUUAGAUACCCGGGUAGUCCCAGCCGUAAACGAUGCUCGCUAGGUGUCAGGC